rnacentral:snoRNA from 1 species
UGUGAUGAACGGGUUAAUCAUGUUAUUACAUGAGAUGUGCUCCCCUUCACUUGUUACGCAUGAGUACAUUAGCCUUCUGAU